AUCAUGGCUCAGGACGAACGCUGGCGGCGCGCCUAACACAUGCAAGUCGAACGAGAGAGAAGGAGCUUGCUUCUUCGAUCGAGUGGCGAACGGGUGAGUAACGCGUGAGGAACCUGCCUCAAAGAGGGGGACAACAGCUGGAAACGACUGCUAAUACCGCAUAAGCCCAUGGGUCGGCAUCGACCUGAGGGAAAAGGAGCAAUCCGCUUUGAGAUGGCCUCGCGUCCGAUUAG
rnacentral:rRNA from 1 species